AAGUGUAGGGCACUGCGGGUAUUACAAGUCCCUAUCUGAAACUUACCGGAUUCGGCUUCGGCUGGUCUGAGUAUAUUGGCAUGUUGGGUCAGCAAUUGCGUUGGCUUAGCGUGUCAGGGAAUUGACGGAUGGGUUCCACUUUGUGGGCCUGCGUUAUCAUAUAUACGGGAUUGACGGACGGGCUCUCUACUUGUAGAGGGUUCGUUAUUUGUUCGGCCAUACCUGUGGUCAAUGGAUGUAUUUCCGUUGCAUCACAUAAGUACGGCCCGUUGUUGGUGGGGUGCCUAUCCUGUCUGAUACUCAUAUGGUGUGCUUGUGGCUUCGGCUGCCAGUUCAUACCUAGGGUGAUGGGAAAGUACUGUAUCUAUCUCAGUGCGAGGCUUAAUGAGGAGUCGUGACCAUGUGUCCGGCUUCCGCCCCAUCUUGUUGUUUCAAAUACCAUUUUACACUGUUUAAGUUGGUUGGGUCGGCUUGCCGAUCUGAUUAGCUGCCCAUAGCAUGCCUCCGGUUGUCUUGUAUGACUGGUACGCAUGUCCAGUCGCCUGGCGGUGCCUCAUCCUGGGCUAGACUGUAAAACCAUGUGUUCUCAUUUAUUCGGUUUACCGAGUUUGUGAGGGCAUUGUAGUACAACUCUGAGCGGUGGAUCACUCGGCUCGUGUGUCGAUGAAGAGUGCAGCCAACUGUGUGAAUUAAUGUGACCUGCGGAAUGCUUUGAACAUCGACAUCUUGAACGCAUAUUGCGGCCGCGGGAUAUCCCGUGGCCACGCCUGGCCGAGGGUCGGCUUAUCAUUUAUCACGACGCCCAAUUAGUCGUGGCUUGGAAGUUGUGCCAGCUGGCUUGUUUUCCCCAAUCAUGGGGUGCUGUGCUAUGGCUCCUUCCUAAUGUGUCCGGUUACAUCCCAACGUGGGAUUUGAUUCUCGGGUUGGGAUGUGGCGUUGGAUAUCGCAUGAGUCGUGGCUCAAUGAUUUGAUCGCGCUCAUGCCUUGUUCACGCUAUGUCCAUUUCGGUGGUCGGGUUCAAUAUAAUGGGCAAUGUAACUGAUGCGGUGGUGCUUCUGCACCCUAUAUGACCUGACCUCGGAUCAGAACGUGAAUACCCGCUGAACUUAAGCAUUUAACUUAGCCGGGGUAAGAAACA
rnacentral:rRNA from 1 species